GCGUAACAGCUCACUAGUCGAGCGAUCGCGCGUGGAUAAUAAUCGGGCAUAAGUGUACCACCGAAGCAGUAGAUUUUAUGGUAGGGGAGCAUUCAUUCAGCAUUGAAGGUGUGAUGCGAGUCACGCUGGAGCGGAAUGAAAAGAAAAUGUAGGAAUGAGUAACGAUUAAGCGGACGAGAAAUCCGCUCGCCGAUUGACCAAGGUUUCCUGAUCAACGCUAAUCGGAUCAGGGUUAGUCGGACCCUAAGGUGAACCCGAAAGGGGUAACCGAUGGAAAACAGGUUAAUAUUCC
rnacentral:rRNA from 9 species